rnacentral:lncRNA from 1 species
CAAGGCUAGGGACAAAGUGUAUUUGCCAAACCACGAGGCAAAGCAAUUCGGUCUGGUACAGUCGGUCCCUAUGCUCCUACUAUCUAAAAAUCGAUUGUCAACCUGGAGAGCAAACAUCGGUUACAACCAUGACUUGGCCGAGAUCUCCUUCUAACUUCAGGAGGAAUGACAUUCCUUCCCCUUGUUCCUUGGAGACGGUGUAACGCCAUGGAUGAGGACUGCAAGGCUUAGUGGGACGAUCAUAACCCGGCCAUGCUCUUAUGGUCAAGGAAGCCCUAUGAGGUGCCUUGGCUAAUGCAGAUUGGGAUCCCAUUCCUCACAAAAGGAGUAGGGCGAGAAGGGCCCCGGCUGAGAACUUGUCCCCUGUGCUGCUACCUACAGUUGCCGCUCAGCGUUGGCCAACAACACCGAUACCUUCAGCUCUGUCAAUCUUUUGGCCUACACGCUCGGUGCCUUCACC